AAACCGUUCAGGGGUAAACCUGAGAAACCCGAAAGUUCGAAAGGAGAGAUUCACCGCGACUCGACGCGUCGGCGAGUGCGCGUACGGACGUCGCGUCGACUUCGGUCGGCGUGCGCCGAACGCGUGCCGUUCGGACGUGCGAUCGCGUGCACUUCUCUCCUAGUAGGACGUCGCGACCCGUCGGGUGCCGGUCUACGAUCGACGGUGGAGUCCGCGAGACGGUCGCCUCAAAACGAUCUCGUUCUCGCGAACCCGUCGCAUCCGGCCGGCUCGCUCGACGGUAGAACAUGAGGGGCGCGGGGCCGCGACCAGUUCGCGUCCGACCCGUCGCAAGCGUGCUCGGUAAUUCGGUGUACUCGGAGUCCUCGCGUCUCCGGUCCCGGAUCCGGGCUACUGUUCGCGGCGGAGCUCUCGGACAGACUCCGUAUACACGCCCGUCAGCGACGCUAUUGCUUUGGGUACUUUCAGGACCCGUCUUGAAACACGGACCAAGGAGUCUAGCAUGAACGCGAGUCUUAGGGACUCUAUCGAUUUAAAGAACUAAACCUUGAGGCGUAAUGAAAGUGAAGAUCCGCCUUGCGCGCGAUCUAGGGAAUACGGGUGAGGCCCACAAAGCCGAACCCUGCAUUCCCGGGGCGUCUCGAUCUCAUCGCGAGAUGAGGCGCACCCAGAGCGUACACGCU
rnacentral:rRNA from 1 species